rnacentral:rRNA from 1 species
CCCAGCUUGCUGGGUGGAUUAGUGGCGAACGGGUGAGUAACACGUGAGUAACCUGCCCCUGACUCUGGGAUAAGCGUUGGAAACGACGUCUAAUACUGGAUAUGACUACUGGUCGCAUGGCCUGGUGGUGGAAAGAUUUUUUGGUUGGGGAUGGACUCGCGGCCUAUCAGCUUGUUGGUGAGGUAAUGGCUCACCAAGGCGACGACGGGUAGCCGGCCUGAGAGGGUGACCGGCCACACUGGGACUGAGACACGGCCCAGACUCCUACGGGAGGCAGCAGUGGGGAAUAUUGCACAAUGGGCGAAAGCCUGAUGCAGCAACGCCGCGUGAGGGAUGACGGCCUUCGGGUUGUAAACCUCUUUUAGUAGGGAAGAAGCGAAAGUGACGGUACCUGCAGAAAAAGCACCGGCUAACUACGUGCCAGCAGCCGCGGUAAUACGUAGGGUGCAAGCGUUGUCCGGAAUUAUUGGGCGUAAAGAGCUCGUAGGCGGUUUGUCGCGUCUGCUGUGAAAUCCCGAGGCUCAACCUCGGGCUUGCAGUGGGUACGGGCAGACUAGAGUGCGGUAGGGGAGAUUGGAAUUCCUGGUGUAGCGGUGGAAUGCGCAGAUAUCAGGAGGAACACCGAUGGCGAAGGCAGAUCUCUGGGCCGUAACUGACGCUGAGGAGCGAAAGCGUGGGGAGCGAACAGGAUUAGAUACCCUGGUAGUCCACGCCGUAAACGUUGGGCGCUAGAUGUAGGGACCUUUCCA